CCUACGGGAGGCUGCAGUGGGGAAUAUUGCGCAAUGGGCGAAAGCGUGACGCAGCGACGCCGCGUGAGGGAUGAAGGUCUUCGGAUCGUAAACCUCUUUCAGCAGGGAAGAACGGUCACUUUGCUAACCAGCAGUGUAUUGACGGUACCUGCAUAGGAAGCCCCGGCUAACUCCGUUCCAGCAGCCGCGGUAAUACGGAGGGUGCGAGCGUUAAUCGGAGUGACGGGGCGUAAAGGGCUCGUAGGCGGUAUGGUAAGUCAAGAGUAAAAGCCCCGCGCUCAACGUUGGAACGGCUAUUGAAACUGGAAAACUAGAGUAUGUGAGAGGAUAGUAGAAUUCCAGGUGUAGGGGUGAAAUGCGUAGAUAUCAGGAGGAACAUCAGUGGCGAAGGCGGCUAUCUGGC
rnacentral:rRNA from 1 species